rnacentral:rRNA from 1 species
GACGAACGCUGGCGGCGUGCUUAACACAUGCAAGUCGAACGGAAAGGCCCCUUUGGGGGUACUCGAGUGGCGAACGGGUGAGUAACACGUGAGUAACCUGCCCUUGACUUCGGGAUAACUUCAGGAAACUGGGGCUAAUACCGGAUAGGAAUCCUUGCUGCAUGGUGGGGGUUGGAAAGCUUCGGCGGUUUUGGAUGGACUCGCGGCUUAUCAGCUUGUUGGUGGGGUAGUGGCUUACCAAGGCGUUGACGGGUAGCCGGCCUGAGAGGGCGACCGGCCACAUUGGGACUUAGGGACGGCCCAGACUCCUACGGUAGGCAGCAGUGGGGAAUAUUGCACAAUGGGCGGAAGCCUGAUGCAGCAACGCCGCGUGCGGGAUGACGGCCUUCGGGGUGUAAACCGCUUUCAGCAGGGGCGAAGCUUGUGGUGACGGUACCUGCAGAAGAAGCACCGGCUAACUACGUG